GGCUAUAGGGUGAUAUUUUAGACUCGGGGACAGUAGUGGCCUGUUAAGUUACUAUGCAUUGGUCACAGUUUUACAUUAGUUACAGGAAGCUUUAGUUUCAGCUUUAGUUUCAUUUCUGUGGCAGUGACAAAGAAUCUGAGGGAGAAAGUUUAUUUCAUUGUAACAUUCUAGGACACAGUCCAUUAUUGUGGGGAAGUCAGUGCAGGAGCUUCAAACAGCUGGUCACAUCAUGCCUAUCGUUAAGAGCAAUGAGAAAUGAAAGCGUAUGCUUGGUGGCCUCAGAGCCAGCAAACUCACCCACCUGAGACCAGUUUCCCAAUAAACCUGCUUUUAAUAUAAUCUAA